AUGGCGUCGUCUUCCUCCCCUAGUCUGCCUUCCAAUCCCUUUAGCCAGCAAGUCACCGAGCGCCUCACCAGGGAAAAUUUUCUUCUCUGGAAAGCCCAAGUUCUUCCCCAAAUCAGAGGCGCUCGCCUAUUUGGUUACAUGGACGGCACCACCGUCGCACCCUCGGAAUUCAUCGAGGUCCAGAAGGCUGACAAGAGCGGCCUGGAGCAAGUAGCCAAUCCCCUGUACGAUCUAUGGGUCUAUCAAGAUCAACAGGUGUUGGCGUAUGUGAUGGGAUCUCUCUCACGGGAGGUCCUGGCGCAGGUCUCGGACAUCACGUCCUCGGCUCCUCUCUGGAAGGCAAUCACGGAGAUGUACUCAUCCCAAUCCCGGGCGCGAGCAAUCCAGCUCCGCGGCCAACUCUCCAACACAAAGAAGGGCGAGAUGACGGCAUCGGCCUACUUCAUGAAGAUGAAGGGGAUUGCUGAUGAGAUGGCUGCAAUUGGUAAAAAGAUUGAUGAUGAUGAUUUAAUCUCGCAGAUUCUUUCUGGGCUCGACAGCGACUACAACCCGUUCAUGUCUGCAAUCUCGGCCACAACUGCUCGAGGGGACCCCAUCUCUCUCGGCGACCUGUACGGGCAGCUUCUGGCGGCUGAGAGUCGCCUCGAGGCCCAGGCUCCUGGCGGAUAUUAUUCUGCCAACCUCUCUAACAAAGGAGGGCGUGGCCCCUCCAACAGCGGCAACCGCUGGAAUAACAGGGGGAACAGCGGCUAUGGUGGUCGCAGCGGCUAUGAUGGUCGCGGGAGUAGCAACGGUGGUGGCUACCAGAACAAGCCGCCAAAACAAGGAGGAGGAGGCGGGGGCUACCAAGGCGGUGGUGGCGGCUACCAAGGCGGUGGCGGCGGCUACCAAGGCGGCGGUGGCGGCUACCAAGGCGGCGGUGGCGACUACCAGGGCGGCGGCGGCGGCAAUGCUUCUGAAGAGCAGUGCCAAAUUUUUCGUCGCGAAGGUCGCGAAGCUUACCGCUGCUGGAAGAGGCAUGACAAACGUUUCCGCACACCACCGGCAACACCGAAGAAGACGGUGAACAUGAUGACAAACUCCUAUGGUGUUGACACCAAUUGGUACGUCGACACCGGAGCUACCGACCACAUUACGGGUGAGCUAAGCAAGCUCACGGUCCAUGAUCGCUACCACGGCAACGAGCAAGUUCAUGCAGCAAAUGGAGCAGGACCAGGUAACAGGCAAGGUUCUACUCCACGCUCAGAGUAG
rnacentral:rRNA from 1 species